rnacentral:lncRNA from 1 species
CAGAGACAUUCCGUAGUUUCAGUGCCAUGAAGCAAUACAUAUUAGUAAGUUUGUGGAUGCCAUAGCUUAAGACCGAGAAGAAAUAUAACAGAUAAGACACUUUCCACAAAAACCAAUACUGCUAGUAGGGCUGCUAGUCUAGGUGAGCCAAAGAACUAUACCCGCAUAAACCUUGGUUCAGAGUAUACCAACUUCUUAAAGAAAAUUAGCUUGCAAGUCAUAUAGCCUAACCUGGACAAAUUAACCUUGCCUAAGCGCCCAACUCACUAUAGUAGUUCAGUCCUUCAAGGAUAUAAUUCAUGUUCCUAACCAAGGUUCUCAACAUCACAAGGAUCUUUGAAUCCUAUCUUCUUAUGACAGUCAAUAUCCUAUAAUCUUACCAGGACGGCAAGUAUCUCCAAAGCACAUUGACAAAGUUCUGUGAAGAAGUCAGAGUUUUCACACCGUACCACAUAGUUGGAUGAAAUACUUCCAUUUUAACAUGAAUCAAUAAGGGUAAGCUCAAGAAGCUACUCCACUAAUUUACCUGACCAAUCUUUAUCUUUUAUUUGAGACCGCGUAUGUAUAGAGUGGCGACAGACGACUGAGUAAAGAAUAAAAACUCAACAUGUUUCUAAGGUAGAUAAAAUGACUUUGCUGAUAAUGGUAAACUAUUAUCGAAAACAUACAGUUUUGAGAUAUUUGGAAUAUGUCUGCUUUUAUAUCCUCUACCCUAAAGCUAUGAAGUGCAAGUUUAGAUGAAGGGGUUGAUUUGCAACCACCCACUACUCCAUUACUUAGAAUAGUGCUUUAGGUUUUGUGCAAACUGCUCUCUGUGAGUGCCUCUGUUCGUAAAUACAUUUGAUUUCUGGGUUGCAGAGUAAAAGCUAAAAGCCAUCAUUUGACACGUGGUAAGGUGAUAAUUCAUAAUUGAACUCUUAACAAAGAAAGCUAGUUAUGAAUCAAGACAUUGAGGACCUGUUAGGAAGGGAUGUUUUAGGUCCAUUUUCACAAUGGCCCAUCCUUAACAUAUCCUCAGAACAGUCAGGAGUCAGAACAGCACAGAAACAUAUAUGGAGCCAAAAUAUUUAUAGGACCAUGUAGUGCAUACCUCAUAGGCUGAACUUAUCUCUUUGAACUUGUCGGUUGCUCCAGGUUCCUUAUUGACAUCAGGAUGAUACUACAAGGUAAAGACAGUAAGAAGAGAAACAGAUUGUCAAAACUCAGUAGUUUUUAAUGGAAGUUGAAUCUAAUGUAUACAUCAUGUGUGAGAAACCUAGAAGUAGAGCAAAACCACGUCAGUUGGUGAACGUGAUAAAUUUCACACCAAAUUUUAAAUCAUGAAACUCAACCGUGUCUAUGUUCUAAAUAAAGGUAUGAGUGAAGAUUUUUCAAACCUAUCAAGGAGGGUGCUUUAGACCUGUUAUAAUCUAGGCCCAAUACAAGAUCAUGUCCUAGUCCAAAAUCAGACUUUUGUAGACUUCCAAUGGUAUUCCAGAUUCCAGCACCCUUGCUCAGCCAGAUUCAGGUGAAGCAGAAGGACCUUUGGGGAUCUACCUUUAUUCUCAACUCACGAGCAUGUCAUCUGAUCCCCCUCCUAUGCCCAAAGCCAACUCCAACGGACCCGAAAAUAGCUAUUGUAAAUGGCACGUGGUUGAAGACAAAAAUGUUAGACUGGAUGUUAGGCCUUGCCCUAAAAGCAUCAAUACGUGAUUCAGGCUCCUAGCGUGGCAGCAAUUAGCAAUGGUGCCCGUUAUUUCUACAUGGCAGGCUGAUGCCAUUGGGUAGGAGAGGAGAGUCAGACUUUCCAGUGUUAAACGUUACAGUGUCUGUCAACAUUGCUGGAGCAGUGAGAAAAAUUAUAAUGCUAGAAAGUUAAUGAAACACCAUGAUACAGUCAUGUGGAUGUGACUGUGAAGAUCUCACACAAAAUUCCUCUAAAUGGUGUCAGGACUCAACCUCUAGAAAACAAUUACCUCUCAUCUAAAAAAAAUACAAAGCAGAUGUCAGACCUAGUGGUGUUAUUAUCUGUACUAGUAAGGGAUUUUCAUGUAUAAAAGCGAACCUCUGCAAUACCAAAGAUGCACAAAAAUAGAAAGUAGGGAGUGAUUAUUGCGCCAAAAUGCAAAGACCUUGCACAUGCAAAUCAAAUCGAGCCAGCAAAGAGAUUGGACCGAGUUACAUUGUGAAUUGCGGCUACAAAGUUGUAGAGGCUACUGAUAUGUUAGCAUAACAAAAAUGGGACUCAAACACUAUUCACCAUAUCAUCCAACAUUCACCAACACUAAUGUGGGUUGUUACAAUUUACAGGAGGAGAUGAGAAGCUGGUCUAUUGUAGCAAGCAGAAAGAUAACGGUGCUAGGGUUAUAUACAGUUCGGCAGGGCGUGUCUAUCCACACUUCAUCCAAACAGAACAGCGGCAUCAUGCGUGAUGCAAGGAACUCCAAUCAAUUACUAUGCGGCACUACUUUUGAAUAGAUAGACAGUAUGACAGGCUUAUGGGCACUAGUUUUAAACAGAGAGAGCUCGACAAAACGAGUUGAGAUGUGGCUUAAGUGGGAGGGGGGCAAAGCGUCGAACACCUGGCGCGCGAGCUUCCGGUAGGCGGCCUUGAUGUCCUUGAUGGUCGCGGAGCGCUGCACGCCGAGCGUCGCGUAGUAGUCGGCGGCCGCCCGCACCACCAGGGCCNNNNNNNNNNNNNNNNNNNNNNNNNNNNNNNNNNNNNNNNNNNNNNNNNNNNNNNNNNNNNNNNNNNNNNNNNNNNNNNNNNNNNNNNNNNNNNNNNNNNNNNNNNNNNNNNNNNNNNNNNNNNNNNNNNNNNNNNNNNNNNNNNNNNNNNNNNNNNNNNNNNNNNNNNNNNNNNNNNNNNNNNNNNNNNNNNNNNNNNNNNNNNNNNNNNNNNNNNNNNNNNNNNNNNNNNNNNNNNNNNNNNNNNNNNNNNNNNNNNNNNNNNNNNNNNNNNNNNNNNNNNNNNNNNNNNNNNNNNNNNNNNNNNNNNNNNNNNNNNNNNNNNNNNNNNNNNNNNNNNNNNNNNNNNNNNNNNNNNNNUCGCCGCGGGGCGGGGGGCGUGUGCUGGGCGUUGGUCCGCGUCUCGGGUCGUGUUGAGCUGCAGUUGGGAUGGGAGGGGAAGGGGACGAUGCCCGAGUAGGGUGGGCCCACACCGUCAGUCUCCGAUGGCAUACAUGGACAGUUUGUUUUUUGGGUUUUUAUUAUAUACUCCCUCCGUUCCUAAAUAUAAGUCUUUUAAGCGAUUUCAAUAGGUGUCUACAUACGGAGUAAAAUGAUUGAAUCUACACUCUAAAGUAUGUCUAUAUACAUUCGUAUGUAGUCUAUUAGUGAAAUCUCUACAAAGACUUAUAUUUAGGAACGAAGGGAGUAUAAUCUAGCAAAAGAGCUCGUGCGUUGUAACGGAAGAGAAAAUAACACAUGCUCUGAAUGCAAUAUAUUUUCACAUGACAUCACAUUUGUGUUGCCGACGAUGAUUUUAGUGCUCACACAAUGAAAACGCGUUUGAAUAUAGUCGCUCGAAAUAAGAUGAGAAAUAUGUUGUUUCUCCUCACGAGGUUUUUCAAAGGUGUGCAUGUGUUGUUAACGAUGUUUUCUUUCCUCUCAAUUUAGUUUUAAUUUAAUGGAUGUUUAUUGCAAUUCGUAUCGUCGCCGGAAAGAGAGAGAAAAAAGGAUCGUGCACUACAGAUUAAGGUUGCAUCAAAAAUAAUAUUUAAGAAGUAUUCAACAGCUAAAAAUAACAUCCUAUUUAGAUUCUACACUUUUUUUUAAUUAAAUUUCAUAUAUAACAUGUUAAAAUCUGAGUUACGGUUUAAAAGAUAUGGAUAAUUUUAUUUUAGAUAAAAUGUGGAUUGAUUAACUGAAAAGUUAGGUUUUUUUUGUUAAAAUACGGAGGGCGUGUUGAUUACCUGAAACACCAGGGGGUUUUUGAAAAAAAUGCAAAAAAUGAUUCGUUUUCUAACUUAAAUCCGGACUGCGGGUUGAUUACCUAAAACAUCAGGGGGUUUUCUGCAAAAUGCAAAAAACAAUUCGUUUUUGGGGGUUUUGAUUUAAAAAUGGACUGCGGGUUGAAUACCGGAAAAGCGAGGGGUGUUUUUGGAAAAAACCGGCGACGUACGGCAGAAGCGCUGCGCGCUUUAUUAUUAGGGGAGAUAUACUUUCUGUGUGUGGAAUUACUUGUCGUUAGAUGUAUCCGUUUGAGCGGCAAGUAAUUUCAGACGGAGGGAGUAUAAGUUUAUAAUUGGUUAUGUCAUACUGCUCAAUUUUACCAUUAGAAAAUUUAACUACUUAAAAAUGUCAUUAUUUUAUUAAGUAUGUGCUUAGAAAUGUCACUCCACAUUGUUGUUGUCUGGUUGAAGGUAGGGAUGAAGUGACCAAAAUAUCCUAAGACCCCAUUUGUCAUCCCUUUCCUAUAACAUUGUGGGUUUUAGUUGUCAACACACGAAUAAUUAAAUUAGAAGAAAAAGAAAUAUAGGCAUACGAGGGUUUUAAUCGCCCGCGCGUGAAGCUAUCUAUUUUAGCUUCUAAUUUUAUUCUUUGAGUACUAAAAGCUAAGACCCAUAGGUUACACCGAUAAGUAGGGUCCAAGGGUAUUUUGGUCAGUUCAUCCUAGUCAAUGGCCUUUGACCAGACGAAAACGGUGUCGGGUGGCAUUUUCUAGCACAUACUUAACGAGAUGAUGGUAUUUUUGAGUAGUUGAAACUUUUAAUGACAAAAUUGAGUAGUGUGACACAAUCAAUGGUAAAAACUGACUAAAAAUAAUGGAUGCAUGUAUACCUGGAGCCACGUAGAUUCAUUUGAAUUUCUAUAAAAAAAUUAAAAAAAAAGGAUAUUAUUAGAAAAUUUUGCUAUGUUAAUCCUUCGGUUUAUAGGAUUGAAUCAUGUAGGGAAUUUUCCGAAAGAUUUCUUUGUACUAUAUAUUCCACAGAAAUUUUAACAUCCACUCCAACAUCUUGAAAUAAUUCUUUGUUAUCUCGUGAUGUUAUCAGAUGAAUCGAAAAUCCUGACAACAAUCAUAUGGUUCCCUAUAUAUGAGUUGUGGGAUUCAUGUGAAUAAAAUGAGCCCUUAGGUCUUGUUUGAUUGAGAGGGUUGUUAAAUUAAUUGUGGAGGAUUCCAAUUGUUGGAGAGAGAAAAUAGGUGGGUUGUUUGAUUCGUAUGAUUACAUUCUACAAAGGAUUCAUUUGUAGUAUUAGAUUUCUUACAAACAAGUAUCGUCUACUCUAACCUCUUGUGAAGAAUUCUAUGGUUAAAGGUGCACAAUAAAACGUACUAUAUUCCCUUAGUGUUCCAAAUGGCAUGCCAAUCUAUUCCCAUCUUCUUCUUUUUUAUGUUUUAGAAUCUAUGCAAAUCAAAGAAACCCCCCUCUGCCAACAUGUACAAUUGGUAUGAGAAAAUAACUAGUGAGCAUAAAGGUCCAUGGUAACCUUUCUGCUUGCGAGGGUCAUUGCAUGUAGCCAUGCUUGUCGUGACCGAUUUAGUGUAGUAGACGACUAUCUUCACAUGAGCUAGGAAGACACCAUUAUUGUUCAUUGGAAUUAUAGGUCACACUAGCCACAUGUCUAUGAGGAAGAGAUCGGUCAUAGUUGAAAGAACAUGACCAGGGGUAUGCCUUGUGCUUUUCUAUCCCGUAUCUAAGAUGAGUGCGUCAGACAUCGCCUAGAAAGACACAUGUAUCCGCUAGAUGCAUCAUCGCUACCGCACGGAUCCCGAGUGCUAGAAGGCUGCCAACUGGUGAACAACUCAUUUAAAAGGACACAGAACUAAAACCCACCAUAUGCUCGUCAUUCCCUCCACGGCCAAAUUUCGUGUUUUGACCUUUUUUUGAACUAAAUCGACAUUUAAUCCUAGUUUGAAAAAAAUCGGGAUUUGACACUUUUACCUAUCGUCAUAGGCCGUGGCGUUAGCCUAGCACACCCUACUGUCGGAGACCCUGACGGUAGGCUGACGGAGGACGACGGUCGAUGGACUAUAGUUAGCCGCUGACAUGGCAAAGGGCCUACCGCUACCCUGCCUGGUGGUAGGGUAUCUACACCUACCGCCAGAAACCCUGGCGAUAGGGUCCUCAGGUGGAUAAGAUGAUUGGGUUUAGGGUUUAGCGUUUAGGGUCUUAUCCAACCUAGGACCCUACCGCCAAGAUCUCUGGCGGUAGGUGUAGAUACCCUACCACCAGGCAGGGUGGCGGUAGGCCCUUUGCCACGUCAGCGGCUAACUGCUCACCGUCGUCCUUCGUCAGCCUAUUGCCAGGGUCUUUGGUGAUAGGGUUUGCUAGGAUACCGUCACGAUCUACGGCAAUAGGUAAAAGGGUCAAAUCCCGAAAAAAAUCAAACUAGGAUCAAAUGUCGAUUUAGUUUGCAAAAAAGUCAAACCACGAAAUUUGGCCUCCCUCCACAUGCUCGUCAUUGAUACCAGAACAAGCAUUGUCAAGGCAUAAAUGGAGUGAAUAUGACUUAUUAUGACAAGAGACGGUCACCGCCUUGCCAUCCUCACCAACCUUCCCCCAAGACCCCAAACCACCAGAGGUCAUGGUCCACCACACCUCCAAAGGUCACGAAUGCCACUAGAGCUACAACAAACUGACCUACACGCUAAUGGGAGGGCACAUCUAUGGAUUGCCUCCAAGGACCCUCGAGGGUUAGGGUUCUAUAUAUCCAGGGAAACAACGAUUAGUGAUGAUGGUUACUGGUUCGAGGUUAAUAGAUCCAUGAAGCAUUUGUUACAAUGAAAGGAAGACAUGAUUGAUACUCCUUCUGUCCCAAAAUAACUGUCUUAACUUUAUACUAGCUCUAGUAUAAAUUUAUAUUAAUCUUAAGACACUUAUUUUGAGACGGGGGAGUACUUAGCUACUCUCAUGUUUGGAAACCACACUUUAAAAGUUGUGGAGAAAUCUAGAAAUAAUGUAGCUGACAUAUAAGAGAGAACAUAUAAUCUUCCACCACACACAAAUAGUAAAACUCAAAUAUAUCACUUUUUCAUCAUUGUUCCCCCUCCAUUUGUAAAUGAAAACAUAUAAUUAUACCCUUGAUGUUAGUGUUCAAUCCAUAAAUUUUGCGCAAAUCCUCUUUUUUGUUGCCGAAUUUGAUGCGAUGUGUCUCUUUUUUUGCGGCAAGAACUUCCACUCUAUUAAUCAACUAUAAUGGUAGUACAAAGAAUACUAAAAUUAAUAGAAAUUACAACUAGAUUCAUGCACCAUCUAGCAAUGGUUGCAAGCACUGAAGUGAGCGAGUUGAAGGUGUGUCGCCGUCAUAACUCCUUCAUCCCGAGUUGAAGGCAGGUCGCCGUCAUAACUCCUUCCUCGUUGAAGCUCCACAAACAUUAUUAUAGUAGACAGUCGAAAAGUCAUCGUGCUAAGGCCGAGAAGACCAGCGCACAUGAACAACAUUUAUCGUUGAUACGUAGAUCGAAAAGAUAAACUUGUAGACACACAACGAAUACGAACAAAGACUACAUCCAAACAGAUCCAUCAAAGACCAGCACAUGUCGUAUUCCAUGAGAUUCGACGAGGCACUAUGCCAAUUUGUAACAAUGAUUUUUCAGUCCAUAAAAUGAAUAUUUUUGGAUAUAUAAGGACACAAAUACCCGGUAUAAGUUUUCAAUCUAAAUAUUAAUUUAGAUGGUAUUACUGGCAGUCAAAUUGAAUGGUUGUUUGAAAGCAGUAUAUGUUUAUUUGUGAACAAGAACAAUGUAAAAUAGGAUUUUGCUCCAAAUAGAAACGCAUAUAUAAAAAGUUAUAAACAUACAAUGUGCGACUAGGAUUUUGCUCUAAAUACGUUGAUUCUAAUACAAUGGAAAAGAAAAAAAAUGUGACUCGUGGCGUACCGUGCCUACCGUUCUUGUACCUGUAAGAAAUGAAAAGGAAUGGAAUGAACUAUUCUUUCAUUGAUCAUCAUCACAGAUAUUUAUACAGAGAUUCCCGUCUCUUGGGAAUGUCGGUUACAAGGAAUAGACGCGUAUAGGAGGCGUCGAUACGAGAAAAGCUGCCUCUUUGGAAGGAAGAGGCGUCUCUACAAGGGAAAUGCGUUCGUACGGAUAGACACGUCCGUACAACACUUUGGGCACACAAUAACUGCCUAAGGCAAUUGUAAUCUAAUUCUAACACUCCCCCUUGCACAAAGCUAUGUUUUGUAUCUUUUGUAUAAUCUUGAAAGUACUCCAUGUAGUUUUGAUGAUCUCUGAAGUUGGUAAUCUCUCCUCCAAAACCCUGUGAGAAAAUAUGAAGAGAGUAGUGUGUAGGAUAUGUUGUUAAAACUCCUUUAAACCCAGUGGGAAAAUAAGGAGAAAAAGAUGCAAAAUAUAUUGAUUAAAAGAGCCGGAGUCGGGUAGAUCCCAGGCGCCGUGACAGUUCCGGUAUGAGAAUGUAUGGCAGUCCCAUCCAGAUUAUGAUGACAUGGUUGGCCGGAUUUGGCGCUCAGGUCCGGGCCAACAGGGUCUGGGGGGUGCUGCUUGAUGCAUUGACAACAGUUCAGACUCACCUCGGCUCCUGGGGGCAGAGAGAGUUUGGGAAUUUGGUGAAGAAAGUGCGCAAGAUUUAGCAACACCUUGAAAGGCUUAGGCAUGCCUCACUGGGACGUGGUCCAAUAGUGAAGGAGAAAAUAGUGGCGGAACAGCUGCGAGAAGCACUUUGACAGGAAGAGGUUUGGAUUAAGCAGCGAUCCCAUGUCACCUGGCUGAAGGAGGGCGAUCAAAACACGAGCUACUUCCAAGCACAGGCGGCUCAUCGGAAGUGCAUCAAUCGCAUAACUUCGCUGCAACACGGCGAUGGGCACUUCUGUACUGAUCCGGCAGAAAUAAAACAUGAGAUUUUUUAUUUUUAUCAAGGACUGUAUCAAUCCCAAGAGUACAAUCCAAUGGAUGAAUUGUUAAACUGUGUUCAACCCCGAGUGUCGGAGGCAAUGAACUUUAUUCUCGAGAAGGACUUUGUGGCAGAGGAAGUUCAGAAAGCUCUCUUUGAGAUGGCUCCAUCAAAAGCACCGGGAGUGGACGGUUUCACGGCUGGUUUCUUCCAGCGACACUGGAAUGUUGUUGGUGAAGAUGUGAUAGCGGCAGUUCUUGGUCUCCUUAAUGGAGCUGAAAUGCCAGUUGGGCUGAAUGAUAUUGCAAUCACACUGAUUCCCAAGGUAACACACCCUCAGAAGAUUUCUCAGUAUAGACUGAUAUCUCUUUGCCCGGUGCUCUACAAGAUUGCUUCCAAGGCGAUUGCAAAUAGAGCGCGCGGGAUACUGGACGAAGUUAUUAGCGAAGAACAGAGUGCUUUUGUCCCAGGCUGGUUAAUGACGGAUAAUAUCCUUGUUUCUUACGAGACGAUACAUGCAAUCAAAUGCAGAAAACGUGGCAACAAUCCCUGUUGUGCUAUCAAGCUUGAUAUGCUUAAGGCAUAUGAUUGGGUGGAAUGGCAUUAUCUCGAGGCAAUGUUAACUAAACUAGGCUUCAAAGAUCGUUUUGUUAGGCUGAUCAUGAACUGUGUUACUUCAGUACGGUUCACUAUAAAGGUAAAUGGAGAGCUAUUGCCUUUCUUCAAUCCAACAAGAGGGCUGCGACAAGGAUGCCCCCUGCCCCCGUACCUUUUUCUCAUUUGUGCUCAGGGGCUCUCAUCGUUGCUGAACUUUUAUAAUGGAGCACCAUUGAACAGAGGCAUCCGGGUUAGUAUUCAUGCACCUUGGGUUAAUCACCUGCUUUUUGCUGAUGAUAGUUUGAUUUUCCUAAGAGCAAACACCCAAAGUACUGCGAGGCUGAACGAUAUUCUCCGCAUCUAUGCUGACUGCUCGGGUCAAGCAGUCAAUAAGGAGAAGAGCUCGAUUUAUUUUAGUGCAAACACAGAACAAACGCUCCACGAGAAUCUGAAGCUUGAGCUGGGGAUCACAGUGGAAGCAAUCUCGGAGCGAUAUCUUGGACUGCCCACGGCAAUCGGCAAGAUCACGAGUGGGACUUUCAUGCAUAUCAACGAAUGUAUUCGCGACAAGGUCCGGGGUUGGUCAGAGCGUAAUCUUGCUUGUGCUGGACGACAGGUUUUACUGAAAUCCAUCGCUCAAGCAAUUCCGACUUUCAGUAUGAGUUGUUUUCAACUUACUAAACAGGUGUGCACGGGGAUCACUUCGUGUAUGGCCAAAUAUUGGUGGGAAAUCUCUGUUGACAAACGAUCGCUGCACUGGCUUUCUUGGGACAAAUUGGCGACCCUAAGAUUAAAGGAGGCAUGGGAUUCAAGGACCUACACCUGUUCAAUCUAGCCAUGCUAGGCAAGCAGGGUUGGAGACUCCUUACGCAUCCUACGUCGCUUUGUUCCCGAGUUCUCAAAGGAAAAAAAUUCCCUACUUCGGAUUUUCUCCAAGCUACGUUACCGGCAAGGGCGUCAGUGACCUGGAAAGCAAUUAUGGUAGGUCAAGAAGCUUUGGAGAUGGGUUUGGUUCACCGCAUUGGUGAUGGAGCUACUACUUCGAUCUGGGAUGAUCCAUGGAUCCCAAACAUCGCAGCUCUGAAACCUACAGGUCGAUUGGGCAAUGCACCUCUUGAGCUUGUCUCAGACUUAAUUGAUCCCUACAACAAUUCUUGGAACAUAGACUUGGUUCGUCAAUCUUUCUUUCACCAUGAAGCUGAAGCCAUUCUUAAUAUCCUUUUGAGCCAAUCUGGUGGGGAGGAUAGCCUAGCAUAGGCUUUAGAGAAAUCAGGAAUCUACACUGUUAAAUCAGUGUAUCGUUCUCUUGUGACCCGCAACGAGCUACGCUCAAUAGGGGAAGGGACGAUCACAGAAUCUUCAUCGGCAAAUAAACGGCUGUGGACUGAUCUCUGGAAGCUCAAAGUGCUGCCCAAGGUUAGAGUAUUCUGGUGGGGAGUGCUCCUGGGGAUCCUACCAGACUCAAUGACCUUGCAAUAUCGGCAUAUUAAACCACGCGACAUGUGUGAAAUAUGUCGCUCUUCGGGGGAAAAUCUGAAGCACGCUUUGGUGGCGUGUGUUCAUGCAAAAACCUUUUGGAUGGCACCCAGGGAAAGGUUUGAUUUUCAUCUCCCAAAUUUGCACCCGCUUACUUGGGUGCAAGAUAUUUUGCUAGACCCCAUGUUUACUGCAUACAAUAGGUGCUUGGUGAUUUCUAUCAUGCAUGAUAUUUGGUCUUCGAGGAACAGAUGGACCCAUGAUCGAGAUGGUUACGAUUCAGUGCAGGCGAUCGAAUGGGUACACGAAACCCUCGUUGUUCUAGAGCUUCCUAGGGCAAGAUCAGUGCCUGGAGCUCAUCUAUGGCGGCCACCGGAGGCAGGAUGGAUCAAAAUCAACACCGAUGGAUCAGUCAUCCCAGACGCUCUCUCGGGAGGGGCUGGUGGCGUCGCCCGCUCUCAUCUCGCUUUCCUUGGAGCAUGGAGUAAACCCGUGCCAGGCAUCUCCCAUCCCUUCGUUGCCGAGCUACUAUCCUUCCGUGAGGGGGUGAUUUUUGCACAGCUACGGGGUUACUCACAUGUGAUAAUGGAAGUUGAUAGUCUGGAGCUUGUCAACUUAUGGAAUUCGCGACACAAUUCUCGUUCUAUUGCGGCGUCUAUCUGAAACGAAGUGGAGGAUAUUACCCUUAGUUUUACUAGUUUAGUGCCCGUGCGUUGCCACGGAACAACAAAAUUACUGUCCCUAUCAUUGUUGUUGGUUAUCAAAUUCGAUUCAAUCUACCAGAUUGUCUUGACGCUACACUUAACCCCUUAUCUUUCGUUGUCGUUGGUCAAUGAGAGGGUCAAGAAUCAUCCUUCCAUCGUCCUAGCUGAAUGCUUGUGCGUUGUCAUGGAACCAAAAAAUAUUUUAAUUCAUAAAUCUAUUGAACUUGUAUAAACAUUGUUUCAGUCAUACAACGACAAGUAUCCAUUUCUUUCCUGCCCGCUUCUUUCAUAAUUGCAUCAAAUAUAUCCUUAUCUAGUACUCCUAUAUGACAAGGAAUGAAAAAUAAGUAAAAUGACAUCAAACGUGAGUAAUACUGAUAUGCUUUACAGCCCCUAACAGGCCAACAAUCAGCUGGAAACGAACAAAUUAAUAAUAAUAUAAAACUUAUCUUUCAGGACAUCUAGAUAAUAAUUCAUCUUAUAUUGAAAUAUGAAAAUACAAAAAUAGAAUUCUGAAUCUGUCAUACACUACAUACAUAGAAGGAAAAAUCUUGUAUUGAAAUAAAUUUAUAUUAUAAUAUUUCAUAUUUAUGGACACUUCAAGACAAGGGUUUUAGCUAUUGUUGUACUUCCAGCUACAUAUAUAUUUUCUUCUAAACUAUAAUACAUAUACACAGGAGCGUGCACAAACAAAUCUCCUGAUGCAAAAUAAAAAAUGAGUAGUAUGCCCAAAAUACACGUCAGUGUCUAAUUAUACAAGUACAAUAAUAAUUUUGAGGAUAGAUAGACUAAGACAGACCAAGAAACUGCUUGGAAGUCUAUUCAUUGGAGUACCAAAAUAAAAAAAAGAAUAAGCAUCAAUAUUAGGAGUUGUGCUUCCCAUUCCUUUCAAAUAUGAUAAUAUCAUCAAAAAAGUAACGCACUCAUAUAAUCAAAGUUGCAUGAAGUAAGACGCAGAAGAUCUCUACAUGGGGCUCGACCGUGUCCCCUGUUAUGUCCAUCCUCUGCGUAGCACCUCUCACAACAGAUCAACUUGUUGCUCAGUAAAUCACCGCAUUUCUUUCCUUAGAAGCGUAUGUGGAGUCUCUCCUCGGCCAUCUUCGUCUUUGUGUCCAAACAUUGGGCUCCACAUAAAUAGAGAGAUAACCAAAUACUUGCAAUGUUGUUAAUCUGUAUUUCAAUAUUAGUCAGUAAUGGUGUGAAAUUGAGCUAGUUUUGUAUCUAUGGGUUGAUAAACUUCCCAGUGAGAAGUCAUGCAUCCGUCAAUUUGCAGCAUACAAAGAAUGUGAUUGAUGUGAGUGGAUAUUGGUGUUCUGGUGUUGAUAUAAGCAAAUCUCUUAAUGAACUAAAGCCAUCGGCCAUAUCUAUACCAUAUGGGACAAUGCCUAGUAAAAACAAUUUGCAGUCACAAGACGAAGCCAAGUGCUGACAAAAAUGUCAUGAGAAGCCAGCUGGUACAGUUCACCAUCCCAGCAUACUUGAUAGUGCAAAUGACAUACGAUUAUCACAAUGUAAAGUUUUUUUUACCAGUACUAAAUACUGCCCAUCGGAUUAAGGCCAACUUAUAAAGAUAAGUUUCAUGGUGGAUUAGAGACCACUCGGUAAUUCAGAAUCGAGAAGAAAAAAAUACAUAUAACAGGUAGCCGACAAAGCAGAUAAUAAAGCUGAAAUAUCCCCUUAUAUUUCUUCCAGUGAAGUCUCGCCUUUAAUCAUCCAUCCAUAUGUAGUCAUAAACAAUUGAUAAAAGGAGCAGUAUGCUUAGGGAAAAUAUUUUUUUUCUGUGCACAACACUCUAAUAAACACAGUACAGGUUGAUUAAAAGAUAUCCAUCUAUAUAAAGCUCUUGUUUGGUUCUACCCGAGUGCUGCUAAAUGUGAUGGUGGAGUUUCUGCUUGUGAAGAUGCCUUUUCACUCAUCGACUUUACCCACUCACUCCUUCAGCUCCUAAUCCUGCCUGUUUGAGCCAUUACUUUGCCUAAUAUUCUCCUACCAAAAGGAACAACACAUUCACGCAUCCGUUCAGUCAGUUAUGAAAAUUAUGAUAAGCAGGAGAGGCUCGACUAUGAAUCAAUCGAUCCAUGCCCCCUUACCGAGGUGGAACUCAUGGUGACAUGAGAGACUCAUCUUCAUCAAUGUCUCCGCACAGCCACAAUGAGGCAGGUUCAUACAUCUAGCUGAUCUUGGUUAUUACUCGAUGAUUCACUGUCAUCCCCGUGUCUUCUGUUGGUAGCGAAAAAGUUGAGCAGUUUUACAUCAACAAUUACAUACAAAUAAAAUCAUUGUGUUGUCUUCUUCGUGGUGUAAGACUACUUAGUAGGGUGCAUGUCAACCGAACAAUAAGAUGCGUUUUGUGUGAAUUUGAACCCAUAAAUCUCAGACAUGUGAACAAACAGACAUUCAAUUAUUAGUCUGAUAGUCUAGUUAGUUUAAAAAAUAUUGAGUUGCAUAUAACUUUCAGGUGAGCAACAAACAAAAAUCUCUAUAACCACAUACUUGUUAUUGGAGAGUGAACAGUUGUUAUUUCACGUAUCUUACCUUCAUAGACAAUAGAGGAAAACUUCAACUCCAUUAUUGACGCUAUCUCCAUUGCAAGAUUCAGGAAAGAAUUUCUGUUGAGAACCAGUGAAAAAACUAUUAUUAAAAAUACAAGACCACAUGAUGAAGCACGUACUAUUUCAUUUUUCAGUCCUACAGUGUAACAUCAAGAAACAAGCGCUAAUUAAUUCAAGAAUUACAUCAUAACUUUCAGGUGAGAACCAAAUAAAAGUUCCUAUUUCAUUUUUCAGUCCCACGGUGUAACAUCAAGAAAGAGCCCUAAUUAAUUCAAGAAUUACAUCAUAACUUUCAGGUGAGAAAUAAAUAAAAGUUCCUAUAACCACUUGCUUGUUCUUGGUGGAUCAAAAUUUAAAACAUGAAGGCAAGUUGCAAGUUGUCAAUAGGAUCUGGACAACACAUGAAGCUUCCACCGUUCAGCUGUGUGUGUGAGAGAGAAAAAGAGGGAGAGGAUGGCUAACAAGAUGAUAGAUUUGAUGCGACGAAUGGGGGUGAAGAGGGUGGGUACCUGUGGUUGAGUGCUCCCCGUCCCAGGGUAGUGUUUACUGGCUCUUGGCAUUGAUGAAGAGAAGAAGAGGGGGGAGGGGGGGUCAGCACAAUAGAGGCUGUCUCUUAUACACAUCUCCNAACACUAAAUAAUAGAUACUGAUUUUUUCUUGUAUUUAUAGGCUGUAACACAGCAAAAGAGGGCUCAGUGUUGUCUUUGAUCUUCAAGCCUAACACUCACAUCUCUUGCUGCAUGACAUACCCAUCACAAUGUAAACGAACUGCCCUGGUUAUCACUCGUCAGAAUGACUAUCUGAGGCGCAGAACAUCCAACAUAAAGCUUAGAAAGAUCGAGGAGGCCAGAUUUAAGCAUUAUAUCAAGUGUUGUUCUAACCUGGCUUGUUCGCAAAUAUUCACAGCUAUGACUCUGCAUCAUCUAAGAAAGCACUUUCUCAAGUGUUGUUCUAACCUGACUUAUUCGCAAAUAUUCACAGCUAUAACUUUGCAUCAUCUAAGAAAGCAUUUUCUCUAAUAUGUAUUACGAAAAACUGAACCUUGAGGAACAGAGUGGAAUGAAUCAAUUCAUCAUAGACACUGCGUAUUAGCAAAUCAUGUAGAUGCACCUCCCACUCCACUUUCUUAUAAGUGCUUCUCAAAUUGAAGAAAAAGGAAGAUCCUAAACUCUAAAAUUGAACCGAACCUUUUGAUUUCCUCGUCAGAUUGCAUGCGUGAGCAUAAACAUCCGGCCCAUGCAUCUAAAUACUACUAAACUCCUAUCCACGGAUAAAUUGCAAACUGGAGCAAGGUAUGCUAAAAUUCAUUUAGCAAGUGACCAAACACAUGGUCAGACCAAAACAAUCAAUUGGCUAUGCCGACGUAUACCUAGCAAUCUAACAGAAAAGGUCCAAAAAGGAGGAGAAGAGGGAUUAACCUGUAGAUCAAUGAAUGUAGACGCAACGGGGUCAAUCGGGUCAGACUAAAGGAGGCACCAGCAAGAGCGGACGGAUCGAUCUGCAAGGAAAACAAGGGGCAAUCAAAGAGGAGGAGCAGCCAACGGUGGCCAAGGAGAGGGCACAACAUACACUGUAAGUGCAUCCAGUGCCCCUUAGUGAUUUCGGUGGUUUGAAGACUUAUAGGUUAAGUAUCUAAUGUGUUUAUAAGUGUACACAUGAUCUAUAAGUCAUUGAGGAGUUUGAGAUAUUUGAAGAAUAUCGACCCCUAAAAAUAUAUGUCUUCAGUUGAAGAAAUUGGUCUGAAGCUGAAGAAAUGAAUCGCGAAGAAUUUGCGAUGAAAUUGAUAUUCCUCAUGAAGAUAUUGAUAUUGAGAAGAUCGGUGGUUCCUGAAGAAAAUCGUUCUGAAGAAAUUGAAGCAUGAAGAUUUACGUUUUCUAUUUUACUUUCUUCGCAUUUGAUGAAUAGGAACACCGUACUGUUAAAGGGGGUGAAAGUAACGCUAUGGAAUGAAUUUCCUCAUGAUGCUCAACCCAAACCAAAUCCUACCAAAAGCCUCAAGUGAGGAAUAUGACUGACAUGAGGACUCUCACAUUUGAGGGUCCCGACCGUUUCGAUAGCCACGCCAAGUCACUGGUCUUAUCCACUCCAACGGUCAUAUUAUUUAAAGGCAUUAAUGUCAAAUCAUGUCGGGAUGCUCCCAGGCUAUAAAUAGCCGCCCCCCACAACCACUAGCUGGUUGGCUGCUCCGUUAGAAACUGACACUUGUCAUAAGAGCAACCCAAAUUCCUCAGAGCUUUCGAGAGUAAAUCAUCAGUGAGGAAAUACACCACCCACCGAAACCACAAACCAAAACUAGUGAUUGAGCAUCACUGAAGAAGUUGUUCCUGUGUGGGACUGAAGCCUUUUACCUUUGAGGACUGUGCAUCCUCCAGACGGUUAGACGUCAUGGUCUAGAGCAAUCCAGCAGUCAAUUGUGGAUCGCCGGGUGACCGAGUUUGUGAGGGUUUGGAAGUCUGCCCUGAAGACUUACCAUGAGUGUUGGGCGAGGACUGUGUGUCCUUAGCUCAAGGAGAAUGCGGUAGGGACUGUGUGUCCCGGGACUGGGUGUCCUUUGGUUUCAAUACCAAGCCGCUCCAAACCAGAUGUACAACUGUCACAACAGUUGGAACUGGGUCAUCAACAACAGUCUUCUCCAAGAAUCGGGUUCUAAUUCCUCAACUCUUUACUUUCUCUGUAUUUUGUGUUGAUGACUUUCACUGUGACUGUUUGAAGAAUUUGCUGAAGACUUUCUCUGAAUUUCCUCAACCCCAAAUUCUUCACUUGAGUUAAUCAUCAUCUGUAUUCUGCGUGCCUGCUUACUGUGCAAUCUGUUUUCACAUUCUUCACUCUGUAAUACUGCUAUUGUGAAAGUUUGCACGUCUGAUCCGUAACCGUUUCCGCUAUAAGUUAGUCGUCAGUGAGGAAUUUCCUCAAAAGGAAUUUCCUCAGUGAUGAAAUUCUAAAAAUCUCCUAUUCACCCCCCCCUCUAGUCGAUAUAACGCACUUUCAAUUGGUAUCAGAGCAAGGUACUCCCUUGUUCUGUGUGAUUUUGGUUUAACCACCUGGAGUUUUAGUUAUGUCGACUGCAGGCAUGUUUAAGGUGACUGCAGCAUGUCCUACCUACGAGGGAAAGAAUUUUCCCUUCUGGAAGAACAAAAUGCAAAUGCAUCUACAAGCUAUAGACAAUGAUCUCUGGUAUAUUGUGGAAAAUGGUGUCCCCAUUAUUUCUGCUAGUGUCACUGCAGCUGAUGUGAAGAAAUUCAAGCAACUCGAUUCUCAAGCGAAGAACAUCAUCUGUGGUCAUCUGAGCCCUGGCCAGUUUGGAAGAGUAAGUGCCUUAGGCUCUGCAACACUGAUCUGGGAGAGACUGUGCAAGGUAAAUGAAGGAGUAUCAACCCAACGCGACUCUCGUGUUGAUAUUCUUCGCAAUCUCUUCAAUCGCUUCAAGAGACAUGACAAUGAAAGCUGCCAAGACACCUUUGAUCGCCUCACUGACAUAUCAAAUGAACUGCAAGCACUGGGAGCUCGAGACAUCACUGAUCACGAAGUUGUGAAGAAACUGCUGAGAUCUUUGGAUUCUUCAUUUGACACUUUAGUUCUCAUGAUCCAAGAAAGACCAGACUACAAGAUGCUAGAUCCUGCUGAUAUCCUUGAAAGGCUAAAUACUCAUGAAUUCCAGCUAGAAGAAAAGAGAGAUCUAUAUGGACAAAGCUAUUCCAGACCACGUGCACUGAAGGCAAGAGCAAUUUCCUCAUCUGAAGAAGAAGACACAGAUGACAGAAGUUGUGACCCUGAAGAAUUUGGUCAGGAACUUGCAAUGCUUGUGAGGAAAUUUCAGAGAUUUACACGACAAGGCCAGUCCGGUAAAUCAUCAAGAAGAGACAUGAGGAAAUCAGAAUCUGCAUCUGAGGACUACAAGAAACGGACCUGUCACAAGUGCAAGAAAUCAGGUCAUUACAUUGCUGAUUGUCCUCGCUGGGGAAAGGAAUCAAAGAAGAAGAAAUACAAGGAUGACAGUUCUGAUGACUCAAAGAAGAAGAAGAAAUCUUCAAAAUCUUCAUCUUCAAAGUCCUCCUCACACAAGAAGACUAGCGUCAGAAAGGCUCGGGCACUUAUUGGCAAGGAAAUGGAUUCCGAGGCAGAAUCAGAAGAAUGUGAUGAUGAAGAAGGCUCUGGAGAAGAUUCAGAAUCCGGACAGGCUAGUCUUGCACUAGCAACCAAUUUCGUCAGCAAGUCAAUCUUCAAUCUUGAAGAAAAUGAGUGCACCAUCCAUACUGAUGACUAUGCUGAUGACUUCGCUCCAACCUAUUGCUUCAUGGCAAAAGGUUCAAAGGUAUCACAUAAUGCCUCCUCAUCUGAUUCAAGUGACUGUGAACAUGAUGAUUACAAAAAACCCAGUUACAAUAAACUUGCCAUCAUUGCCACUAAACAACAAACUGCUCUGGAAAAGCUUCAAAAACUGCUAGACAAAAGUGAUGAUUUGUUGAAUGAUGAAAUGAAUCUUAAUCAAAUCCUCGCUCAUGACAUGAAAAAUCUUCAGUCUAGAUUUGAUAUUCUUCAGGAUCGUUAUGAUACACUCCUCACUGAUCAUGAGAAGCUUUCCUACGAAUUUCUUCAAAGGAAGCUUGAUCUUGAGAAGCUGAGGAUGUCUUAUGAUGAUCUUCGUAUGGAAAAUGAUUCAUUACUAGCUCAACAGAUCAGCGCUAGUCAAGUUGAAUUUAUUCCUCCAUGUCUUAAAUGCAUUGACCGUGAAACUGCUAAUUCUUCACCAGAAUCUUCAAAUUCUACCACUGCUACAAAUACUUCAACUGCACUUGUUGUGUCUAUUUCCUCACUUGAGGAAAACACAAAUGUCACUGAUGAAAAUGCAGGGUUGAAGGAAUUGUACGUAACAGGCAUGUACAAAAGCCUCAAAGGACAUCAAAUCCUUUGUGAUGUGCUCAAAAAGCAGAUCUUGAACAGGAACCCGAGGAAAGAAGGAAUUGCCUUUGAGAGGAAAUUGAAUGCUGAUGGAUCCUAUUGGAAACCUAAGCAGUAUCCCAAAACCUCAUGGGUUGCUGCUACUGGGCCUCCUUUUGAUCCAUCUAAUCUAACUGGCUUCUCAUGUGAAUUAUCCUAUUCCUCGGAUGAGUCAUUUGAUUCCAACUAUAAACUGUUCAAAGAUCAAUCCGGUGAAGUAUUUGCUCGAUAUGUUGGAACUAACUGCAGGAAUGGCCCUCCUCUGAGGAAAAUCUGGGUUCCCAAAAGUUGUCUUGAAAAUCUUCAAGUAAAUGUCCUCAUGACAUCACCUCUGAAGAAUCUGAACCCCAGAUCAAAUUCCUCAGGAGGACCAAAGUCUUCAAGAGGAUCAAAAUCCUCAACUGGUCAAAACUAUGCUCAUACCCAUGCUUAUGCGUCUAACAUGCAGGGAAACUACAAGGAAUAUGAUUAUGAGCUCUAUUCUUCAAGUCAUUAUGUUCAUAAAUCCUCAAACCAGUUCUCUGCAUACUCAUAUGAGUACUUUAACCCCCCUACUGUUAAGAGAAGUGCAUUAGCUUCAAUGCCACCUUUCUCAUAUGGUGCUCGCAGGAUGAUGAACGCUUUGCCACCCCUUCAGAUGUGGGUGGUGAAGAAAUCAAACUAAUCACUUCUGCAGGUCAGGUCUCCAGAUGAAUAUCAUCAUCUGAAGAAUUUGUUGGAGACCUGAGGAAAUGCUUGAUAGGAUGCAAGCUAAUGAUUGAUGAAAUAGAAAUAUUUCACACGUCCUUACAUUUCUGUUAUGAUGAAAUUAGUAUCAUAUUCUUCAAAUUUGAAGCAUAUGAGAUGGUAAGCUGUACUAAUUCAUCUGCAGGAUGACAAACCCAAAAAUACUGAGUGGGUUCUCGAUAGUGGCUGCACACAUCACAUGACUGGUGAUAAAAGCCUACUGAUGAAUAUGCCACUAACUCCAUCACCUCUGAAGCAAAUCACAUAUGCUGAUAAAAGGUAAAAGCAAGGUAUUGGGACUUGGCAAAGUAGCUAUUUCCAAGGAUAUGCAUAUGGACAAAGUGAUGCUUGUUGAAUCCCUUGGUUUUAACCUCAUGCCAGUCUCGAUGCUUUGUGAUCUUGAUAUGAUUGUUAUCUUUGGUAGAUAUAGAUGUGUAGUCAUCAUGGAAUCUGACAGAUCCAAAGUCUUCGAAGGUGUAAGAAGAGGGAAUUUGUACAUUGUUGACUUCUCUACAGGUCCUCAACCAGCCACUUGCUUACUAGCAAAAACCUCAGAAGGAUGGCUGUGGCACAGAAGACUAGGUCAUGCAGGCAUGAGGAAUUUGCACACACUUGCAAAGAAGAAGCAUGUCAUUGGCAUCGAAUCAGUCAAAUUCCUCAAGGAUCAUCUCUGCGGUGCUUGUGAAUCUGGGAAAAUGACCAGAUCCAAGCAUCCCUCCAAAACCAUCAUGACCACUACACAUCCAUUUGAAUUGCUUCAUAUGGAUUUAUUUGGACCUACACACUAUGCAACACUAACCAAUGCAGCAUCUCUAUAUGGCUUUGUCAUAGUUGAUGAUUAUUCCAGAUACACUUGGGUGCAUAUCAUAGUGUAUAAAACUGAAGUGCAGGAAAUCUUCAAACGAUUUUCUUCAAGGGCCUCGACGAACUUUGGCAUCAAGAUCAAACAUAUAAGGAGUGAUAAUGGAACCGAGUUCAAAAACACUGGUCUUGAUGAACUUGGUAUUACUCACGAAUUGUCUGCUCCUUAUACUCCUCAGCAGAAUGAUGUCGUCGAAAGAAAGAACAGGACUCUGGUUGAAAUGGCAAGAACUAUGCUUGAAGAAUAUCAGACUCCUCGUCGCUUCUGGCCUGAAGCAAUCAACACUGCAUGUCAUAUCAUCAACAGGGUAUAUCUUCACAAAUUCCUCAAGAAAACCUCAUAUGAACUCCUCACUGACAAGAAACCCAAUGUAAGUUAUUUCAAAGUCUUCGGUGCAAAAUGCUGGAUUAAAGAUCCUCAUCAUAGCUCGAAAUUUGCACCUAAGGCACAUGAAGGUUUUAUGCUCGGUUAUGGAAAGGACUCGCACACCUACAGAGUCUUCAACAACUAUCACAACAAAGUUGUUGAGACUGUAGAUGUGCGGUUCGAUGAAACUAAUGGCUCGCAAAGAGAGCAAUUGCCUUCUGAUCCAGAUAAGCUGUCUCCUGAGGAAGCAAUAAAGCUUAAGCCUACUGAAGACAUUGUUCCCACUGAGGAAAUUGGUGAAGAAACAAUCCCUAUCGCUGAUGAAAGUCAAGAAGAUGCUCCUGAGGAAAUUGCAACAGCACCACUUCCUCAGCCCAGACAAAAUCCUCAACCAGCUCAUCCAAGGAUUGCAAAUGAAGUAGAACUUGACAAAAUCCUCAACGACAUCAACGCGCCAGGUCCUCUCACUCGCUCAAAAGCUUCACACUUAGUUAACUUUUGUGGGCAUUUUUCUUUUGUAUCUAUCACAGAACCCUCAAAAGUAGCUGAGGCUUUUCUGAAACCGGAGUGGAUCCAAGCCAUGCAAGACGAACUUCUUCAAUUCAAGCUGAAUGACGUAUGGGAGCUCGUCAAACGACCAGAUCCUCGCAAGCAUAACAUAAUCGGCACCAAGUGGAUUUUCCGAAACAAGCAAGAUGAGGACGGUCAAGUGGUGAGGAACAAGGCACGACUUCUAGCCCAAGGCUACACCCAGGUUGAAGAAAUAGAUUUCGAUGAAACUUUUGCACCUGUUGCUAGACUUGAAGCUAUUCGAAUCCUACUUGCUUAUGCUAAUCAUCAUAACAUCAUCUUAUAUCAAAUGGAUGUGAAAAGUGCAUUCCUCAAUGGUAAGCUUGAGGAAGAAGUAUAUGUUGCUCAGCCCCCAGGUUUUGAGGAUCCAAAGAAUCCAGACAAAGUCUUCAGACUCAAAAAGGCUCUGUAUGGCCUCAAGCAAGCCCCUCGGGCAUGGUAUGAUACAUUGAAGGAAUUCCUCAUGAAGAAAGGCUUCAAACCUGGUUCACUCGAUCCAACUCUUUUCACAAAAUCUUAUGAUAAUGAACUGUUUGUAUGUCAAAUAUAUGUUGAUGAUAUCAUAUUUGGCUGUACUGACAAAAGAUACAGUGAUGAAUUUGCCUAUAUGAUGAGUGAAGAAUAUCAGAUGUCUAUGAUGGGGGAGCUGAAAUUCUUCUUAGGUCUUCAAAUUCGUCAACAAAGCAAUGGAAUCUUCAUAUCACAGGAGAAAUACCUCAAGGAUGUUCUGAGGAAUUUCGACAUGCAUGAAUGCAAAGGUGCCAAGACUCCAAUGCCUACCAACGGUCACCUCGGCACUGAUGAAAAUGGUAAAGAUUUCGAUCAGCAGGUAUACCGUUCUAUGAUUGGCUCUUUAUUGUAUCUAUGUGCAUCUAGGCCAGACAUAAUGCUUAGUGUCUGCAUGUGUGCACGUUUUCAAGCAAAACUGAAGGAAUCACACCAUAAGGCUGUGAAACAUAUUCUUCGAUACUUAGCUCGCACACCAACACUAGGAUUAUGGUAUCCCAAGGGCUCCAAUCUUCAUCUGGUAGGAUAUUCUGAUUCAGACUAUGCUGGUGACCGUGUGGAUCGCAAGUCAACUUCUGGCACAUGCCAUUUCCUCGGAAGAUCACUGGUUUGCUGGUCCUCAAAGAAGCAGAACUGCGUAUCACUCUCCACUGCCGAAGCUGAGUACAUUGCUGCUGGUUCUUGCUGUGCUCAAUUACUAUGGAUGAAGCAAACCCUCAAGGACUACGGCAUCAACAUGAAGAAUGUGCCUCUCUACUGUGACAAUGGGAGUGCUAUCAAGAUUGUCUAUAACCCAGUACAGCACUCGAACACCAAGCACAUCCAGAUUCGUCAUCAUUUUCUUCGGGACCAUGUCCUCAAGGGCAAUAUCCUCAUCGACCAUGUGAAGACUGAUGAUCAACUGGCUGAUAUCUUCACUAAGCCCUUGGAUGAGAAAAGGUUUUGCAAGUUGCGGUGUGAGCUAAAUAUCUUAGAGUCUUCGAAUGUUUUGUAAAAACAUGCACACAUCCUAACACUUAUGCAAAGUUGAUGACUUAGAUGUGCAACACAUGAUGAAACGAUUUUCUUCAACCAAUGAAGAAAGUCACUCUGAAUGUGAAGAAAUUAACGAAGAAAUUGAUCCUCAGGGCCCUACGACAAUUGUAUGCGGCGUCUGUAAUCAACAUUCUUAUAUGGUGGGCAACGCCACCGCCCAAUGUGAAAUUCCUCAAAGUUGAUUUUCUUCAAAUGAUCAAAUUCCUCACAAUGCAUUUUUCUUCAAAACAGUUGUUCUUCAUUAUGAUGAUCUAUUGCAAAAUCUUCAAAAAACACUUGAUGACUUUCAUUUGCCUAGGUAGACUGUGAUUUCUAGUCCUCAACAGCAUUCACUUAUUGCUAUUUCUUCAAGUUGAUGUUUCUGCUAAGUGAAUGUGAUCGGACCCUAUUUUCCCUCUAUGAUAUACUUAUCCGGUCUAUUCAAUUCUUCAUAUGCGUUCUACUUGAAACUUUGUUCAAAAUCCUCACUGCAUCCUUGUCAGCUGACGAUUUUGUAACGAAAAUCCUCAAAUCUUCGAAAAAUUGUUUUCUUCAAAGGAACAGUAACUGAACCCCCACUUCCCACGAUUGGAUAGGCACGAUCUCCACUAUCUCCACCGCAUCGUACGGGAGCUACACGUGUCCUGCGGAGACGUAGAGGCAAGGGCUAUUCAGUCCGAAACUUUCGCGCCAAACAGUAACUUUCGGGCUAUAAAUAUGUCCUUAUCCCCCUCGGUAUCAUCUUCUUCGCCUCAUCGCUCUCCUGCCACAGCACACCGAACCCUAGCGCCACCGCUGGUAGUCUUGUCGCCGGCAAGGAAGAGCUUCACCGCCUCAACCUUCUCGCCGCCAGGAUCACGCCGAAGUCGGAACAUCUACGUCCGCCGCCGCCGUAGACGUCCUCUGCUGCCAAGUUAGGGUGCAUUGGACACUUGAUCGAAGAACCUCUCCAACACCACCUUUUUGUGUUCUUCGUUCGCACCUUCCAGGGUAAUUAUAUCCCAUUUUUACAACAGAUUAGAUCUGAAAUUUUACCUCUCCCAUGUGAAAUCUGUUUUUCCUCAAGAUACGAUGCGCACAUGAUUCCUCAAACACUAUCCAUCACCACAAUCAUUGAUGAACUAGCUAAGCAUCUAAUAUUUUCACGAGAUUCCUCAAUUGUGCGAAUUUUCGGAUCUGUACAACUCUGGAACCCAAGAACAUAAUGCUUAAGCAAAUUCCUCAACCACUGGUUAUAUUCCUCAAACUGUCAAACUUUUCCAUUUUUUUUAAAUCUGAGAACGCAUAUGACCUCUCCAAAUUCCUCGCAACUAUACUCUGUUCACAGGUACACACAUGUCAGCUGAUGAAUCUCUCGGUUCUCAUCACAUUAACUCAUUUGCAGCGUUUCUGGAAGAAACUCUUCAAGGCUCAUCAGAAUCCGUAAGAGUUCAAAAUCCUCAGAAAGUUCCUCGUCUGAAGAAAAUGGAGGAAGAAAGGAAACAGAAGGGAGGAAAGAAACUGGAGCAGAACACAGCUGUUGAUAUUCCUGAUGACAUAUAACUGGACUAUUGCACGCCUGAUGAUGAACCUGAGACUAUGCCUAAAAGAAAGAUUAGGCUGCAGAAAAUUGAACACAGAUGGGCAAAGGAGUGGAAGGAGUACAUGUUUGUGACUCCAAAAUAUGCGAAGAAAUUCGCUUUGAAGCCCCCUGGCAGAAGGGCCCCACUUGAGGAUCAUCAAGUAGCUCAUCCCUCAAGUCUUAUGACACUUGAUGACUACCCAGAUGAAAAAGAAAGGCAUCUGGCCAAGCUCAAGAAGCAAGCAGAAACAGCAGUGAAUAAAUUUCAUGAAUCCCCAGCUGCUGCCUCCGGUGCUGCUCAUUCCUCAUCAGCAGAAACCUCAGGCUCCGAGAUUCCUCAACCAAAGCCCUCAGCUCCAAAACCCUCGGUUCCAAAACCGUCAACACCAAAACCAUCAGCGCCAAAACCCUCAGCACCAAUCGCAUCUACACCAAAGUCCUCAGAUCCACCUCCAAAGCCAGUACAGAAGAAAGUCGUGAAGACUACGACUGCCAGCUCUAACUCCUCACUCCCAGCUGCAACAAGCUCGGAGACGAAGUCUUCAACACUCCUUUUGAAGACUUUGACAACAACUGAACCUGCACCUCUGCCCAGCCCCAGCAAAAUCAUCACAGUCCCAUCUGCAUCAGAGGGAAGUGAUGAAUAUGAUGAUGAAACUCUGGAAGCCAUCAUCAGGAACAAGCAAGAAAGGGUAGCACAAGCAUCAGGCAGUGCUAUUCCUCUGGCGAUGGACCCCAAGGUCCUCCUCGACUUCAUCAAUGUGUGGUAUGAAGACCCAAACACACCCAUUGAUGAUUUGAAACUUCCUCCUGGUGUCAGCCACAUGGUGGCUACCUUCAUAAACGAAGCCAAGUGGAAGGAACAGAAGGCCAAGCAGGCAAAGAUUGCAAAGGCCAGAAAGGAGAAAUUCCUCAGGCAAAAUGUUCUCAAGCUGACGCCUGAAGCAUUGGUGUCCACCCAGGCAGAGCUGCAAGUCUUAACUGACAAGUGUGAGAAACUGUCAGACCGCACAAGCAUCAAACGCAAUUUCAUCAAGCUAGCCACUAGUGCUAUUGAUGACUACAACAAACGUCACCCCCCACCAGCACCGACUCCUCAGUCCCUGGUUGAACAGCCAGAAGAUGCAUCUCCUGAUGAGGAGGAAAUUCCUCAAGCUGAGGAACAACACCAAGAGCGCCGUGCUGAUGAGUCUGCUAUUGAAGAAAUCAUCACCGAGGCCGCUCCUGAUGAAUCUGCAACCCCUGAUGAAACUGCUCCUGAUCCAGCUGCUUCAUCAAAGCAGGCUGGUGACUCUGUUCCAGCUGGUUCCUCACUGCCAGCUGAAGAAUCUGUUGAGAAAACACCUUCACCAAAAACUUCAAAGGUGAAGAAAUUAAUCCCAUCUGCAUCAGACGCGAAAAAGACAAGAACUGCUGAGAAGGAAGCAAAGAAGAGAAAAGCUUCCUCAGCAGAAGAAAAGAUUGAGGCAAAACGCCUCAAGGAAACUGAAGAAUCUGCCCCUCUGGACCCGGUGCCUCUUAAUGUUGCACCCUCAUAUAAAAUGGUCGUCCUUGGUGACCACACUACAAGGGCAGAUGAGGAAAUGAAGAAUGCUGCCUCUGAGGAGCAUACUGAUGAGGAAAUACAAAUUGAUGACAGUCCUCAACCUCAUAUUCCUCAGAAAGAGACUACUGAAGCUUGCAUGCCNNNNNNNNNNNNNNNNNNNNNNNNNNNNNNNNNNNNNNNNNNNNNNNNNNNNNNNNNNNNNNNNNNNNNNNNNNNNNNNNNNNNNNNNNNNNNNNNNNNNAAGCGGCUCGCGCGUGGCAGGCGACCGAGCGGUGGGUUGCGGUGUUUGUCGGAGGAAAGGGGAGGGGGUUUUCGUAAAACUUCAUCAGGGACAUCUAUUUCCGGACGGAGGGAGUACAAAUCAAUCGACUGAUUUUCUGAAAAAAUCAGUUGGGUCAUGGGACGUUCGUGAAGCGUUCGAUUAGUCAACGCAGCAAGAUGAAAACGCAGCACCCACGUCCUCCAUCGGCGGAACGCCCGUUGCACUGCAGCUCCGUUGGCCGGCACACAACGCCACAUCCAUUGCACGGCAGCUCCGCCUGUCGGCAUGCAUCGCCUCGUUCGCCGCACGGCAACUCCACCACUGACUUGCAGUACCAUGCUAGCUGCAUUGCAGCUCCCCCCGCCCACCGGCGAGUGGCAAUGCAGCUCCGUUGCCCACCGAGAGCUGCAAGGACGCGACACACGCGCUCUGUGGAAGCAUUCCCCGUCCACGAUGAGAUCCACUGGUUGCAGAGCUCCUCUCCGCAACAACUGCGGCGCAACAUCGAUGUGCUCGGCAACACCAACUCCAGCACGAUGGUCUUGACGAUGUUGCCCUCCCUACGCUGCAGCGCCGGUGAGCUGUGCGGUUGCUACUUCAGCGACAUCAGUCGUCGUUCCGACAUGGGAUUAUAGUAGCCCCAUGAUGGCUGCAGCACCCCCCCUGGGGCGAGAUUCUGCUUUGGUAGCGCCGGUGAGUGGUGCUGCGAGUAGCGCAUCCAUGGCCUGUAGCGCCUGCGAGAUUCAACAGAUAGCGUGUGAGUUGUUUGUGGUUAAUGUGUGAUGUACGGGAUUACAUACCCGAUAAAAUGAAUGAAUCUAUAUUUUAAAGUAUGUUUAUAUUCAUCCGUAUGUAAUUCAUAAUGAAAUCUUUAAAAAAAACUUAUAUUUAAAAACGAAGGAAGUACAAAGUAGGUUCAUCAAACAAAGGUUCUAUAGAUACAAUACUUUAGCCUGGUGACAAUACAGUUCCAGCUGACCACAGUGGAAUCUCUAGAAAACUUAUAUUUAAGGACGGAGAAAGUACAUAAGUAGGUUCAUGAAACAAAGGUUACAUAUAUACAAUACUUUAAAGCCUAGCGGCAACACAGUUCCCGCUGACAAUUGUUUGCGGGUUGACGCGGUGCCCCCGAGCAGACGCCAAAUUGCCGACCCGUAAAAAAGCAUUUUCUGCGAUUAUCUUUUUUUACGGGUCGCAUUUGCGAGUCCUAACUCUGUCCGCACCCACUCCAGUCUGCAAAAUUAUUUUUCCACGAACGGAUUGACUUUACAGGAGGUUUGCUAGAGAUGCUCUAACAUGUUUAAGAGCUCGGCUAGAUGCCGAUUAGAGGAGUCGGGAUCAGGUAGAGAUGCCCAAGUUGUUGUACUCCUAGCGUAAUUUACUCUUGUAUAUGCAUCUGUUGAGUUACAUAGAGAACUGCAUGACAUCAGCCCUGCCUUUACACAAAUUUAGUCGGCAAUGCAAUUAGGGAGGCCUUCCGGCUGUUGUUGAAAGUGGGAAAUGGAUCCUCAGAAGCGAGCACAUCCCCCUGUCAAAUAUGUUCCUAAGCGCGGUUCUAAGCCUGCUUGUCCGCGGGUAAUUGUCAUUCUGCCUCACGUGCUCACAGUCCUCACACACUGGCUUCUCAUACAAGUAUAUGUCCCCCAGAGCGACCGAUGCUUCCAUGACACUUUUGACGUAAUUCACAAACCUCUCCUCGCACUGAAACCCAAAGACCCUGAGCACAGACAAAUUGUGGUGCUUGAAAUCAGAUGGAGGUGCUUCCCACACUGCACAUGCGUCCUUCUUGUCCUUGCUAAACGCAUAGAUCUUCCUCUGCUCCUCAUCCUCUAUAAUUUCACAUAGAUGAUCCCACACCUGCAUUUCAUCAGGCAAAAAUUACAAAUGCAAGAAAAAAAACAUAUGAAGCUCAACAUUUUAAUGCGCCCAGGAAAGCUGAGAUAGACAAUUCCACAGCAACUCACAUAUGCAGCAAAAAGGGAAAGUGUUUGGAGACUAGCUACAAAACUUUACCUUUAUGCAUAGCUCCUGAAGGGACGGUGCACCUUGGAGAAUGAACAUUGUCCAAUUCAGAUCACAUACUUCAGAAAUGUGGGUCAAAGUCACAUGCCUUAAUUUGUGGAACACCUGCAACAAUUGAUUUGGUUCUUCUGGUUUAACCCAGAUCUGCAGAAGACAACAUAUGUUAACCUAAAGAACAGAGCAUAAAUGGUAGCGCGAACAGAGAAACUUAGUUGACUAACAAGAUUAUCACCUUCACUAACCUUUUCACACAGAAAAUUUAAAUGGAGGUCGCUUAUGCUGGCUUUGCCGAGGAACUCACUUAACUUGAGCACCUUGUGCCGUGCGAGAGCCAUACUGGUGAGGCUCAGAGUCUGGAGCAGUGGGACAUAAUCAAAAGACAAAGGAUCAUGCUCACAGACCCACCAAGAAUAAGUCAGCAUUGUGAGCUUUGGUAGCCACAUGAGAUCAACCCUCUCAAAAUCACACUUGACAAUCUCAAGUUCACGCAGUAGUGGGUGUGACACUUCUAGCAAAGACAGGUACCCCAUGUCACAGUUAUACAGGCGGAGGAACUCCAGUUGCUUGCAUAUACUGAAAAUUUCACGGAAGCCCGAUUCAGCUAGCCUCAAAUUUUCUAGCUUGAGUUGUGCCAAACCACUGAAUGUGUUUGGACAGGCAUCAAGAAAUGACUUGAACUGCCUCCCAUAUGUGAGAACAUCGUCCUUUCUGCAUUGUUUGCCUUCCUUCAUAGUAAAGAGAGAUAAUUUCACCGAGCCAACCUUCUUUGUUACCAUGGUGUUGGCAAGAAUUUGGCCAAUAUUACUAACAGAUCCAUCUCCCAAGAAGAAUUGCACAGACAGGAGGUUAAUGGAGAACGGACUUGUAGUCCUGCUUUCCAGCAGGCUCCUGGUUGCUCCAAGGACGGUGGCAUUGGCCCGAACUACAUUAUCACAGGUCAACUCUCUAUUGCGCUCAUCAUCAAAGGAACCAACUGUUAUAAAAAAUUUGGAGAGCAUGGUAGGAAUCUCCUUCCACCGUCUGGCGAGGAUUCUGGUUCUAGCAGCAUCUGCGAUGUCCAGCCGCCCUAAAAUAUCGAGCAACAGGCCAUCAGGCAAAUUACUGAGCCGAUCCAAUUCAUCUUCUUCCUCUACCUGCAUUUAGCAUGGAAUAAAAUCAGAGUUGAUUUCUUAGAAUCUCCUGGAUGCUAUGUUCAUUAUACUCCCUCCGUCUCUUUUUAGUUCACAUAUAAGAUUUGUCUCGAGUCAAAUUCAGUAACAUUUGACUGAGGUCGUAGGAAAGUAUCAACAUUCACAAUAUAAAAUCGAUAUCAUUAGAUGCAUUAUAUUGAAUUAACUUUCAUGUUGUAUAACUCUAGUACCGUACAUGUUUCAAAAAAAGAUGUAUUUUUUGCUGCUUUCCAAAAGCUAAACUGUAAUUGUGCUAUUUUUUCUGCAGAAAAAAAAAAUCACUUUUUACUACUCCUUUGUCGUUUCUACUACUCCCUCCGUUGGCUUUUUAUAAGACGUUUGAGGCAGCCAACAUUGAACUGUUUUGGGUGCUGUCUAAAAUAUCUACGUACGUCUUAUAAAAGUGAAGAGAGUACCCGUAUAAGAGGAUUUAGAUGAAGAAUUGUCUCAGGAAAAAGAAUCUAGAGGAUAAGUAACUCACCAGAUUGGCUAGACAGGACCAUCGGUUAUGCAUGUUGAGGCCUCUGGCCGAUGGUUUGGCCGUCGGUCUGGCAAACGCUUGCCGGCCUAGAGAGCUCGACAUGGCUGGAUAGGUUUUGCUCGUCUCCUCGGAAAUUUGGCAGCUGAAGGCUCACGAGUUGCCGCUACUUGGUCUCCUAAAGAUAUUAGCGGUUGCCGCCAGGAUAUACGUAUAUAUAAAUAUACCCCAGGUUGCCGCCACCAAUGGAAACUCGGAGACUGGAUUAGAAAGAGGGCCUGUUUCUGAUUGUAAUCCGGAAAGGACUGCCGGUCGCAGCUCGGAGAGGAGCUGCUGCUGCUGCUGCUCCAAUUGGGGAUUACAGCUGCUUAUUUGGGCGCCUCUUCUCAAGCACCGCUGGAUCCUCAUUCGAGACAUCCUACGGCGACGGCGGCUGCGCGAAGCGGGGAGAUCGGCGCACGGCAAGCGGCAGCGCAUAGCUGACACCAGAUCCCCUUUUCCUCUCUUGGUGGAACCCUAGGACCUGGUAGGAGCUAAUUUUUUUAAAUAUUGCAAUUUUUUUAUUCUUUUUGAAAAAUANNNNNNNNNNNNNNNNNNNNNNNNNNNNNNNNNNNNNNNNNNNNNNNNNNNNNNNNNNNNNNNNNNNNNNNNNNNNNNNNNNNNNNNNNNNNNNNNNNNNAAGGUCACAAAUGGAAAUCAAUGACCAUUCAGUGACCAAUAUUGAAGGUCGUUAGUUAACAUAUUUCUUGUAGUGAAUACUAUUUCAGAAACUAAAAGCUUAAACUUCACAAAAGGUACUGGUGAACUAAACAUACUCAUAAAUUUGAUAGUUUAAAACUUAGUACUCAUCAACUAAACAUACUCAUAAUUAAAUUUCAGAGCUUAAAACUUCGCAAAAGGUACUGAAAUAAUUAAACUACUCUUAAUCCAGGAUUAUCCUCAAGUGGCGACACUUCUUCCGAUUGUACACACCAUCUUUUUUAAAGUGAGCAACGUUUGUCUCUAGGUCAACCAUUUCUAUCGUGAGUUAUUUUUUCUUUAGCUUUAAUUUAUCCCUCUCCUCUGUCACCUUAUCCCUCAGCUACCUUAGUUUUUUUUAACUUAGUGAGGGCAUUAGCACCCUGUGUGCGCAGACUAUCCCUUUCAUUCUUCACCGCGACAUUGUGUUCUUCGAGUUUUUUGAUGCUCCACUAUGACUCCUCUAAGAGCAACUGAUUCCACUUCUCCACGUCGCCCACCGAUUCAUUGUUGCUUGAUGAAUUGUCCAUAUGUGCCUUUUCAAAUUAUGUACAAAAGGAAAUUAAAACUUGUAAUGAAAUCUCACCAUCUUAGAAUGAAGGAUUUAAAAAUAACAUGGAGAACUAAACAUUAGGUUGAUCCCUUGCUUUCAGAUUUGUCAGCAAGAACUAGAACAUAAUUAAGCACCAUGUUUUACUAGCAUAUGAUAGACUUAAUGUGUGCUAUUUUAUCUAUCACGACAAUUAAGCACCGUGGUUUACUAGCAUAAUUAAGCACCGUGUUUUACUAGCAUAUGAUAGAUUUGUUAGCAAGAACUAGAAAAUAAACAUUAGGCAUUAUGAAUAACAGUAAAAUUUAACGUGUGCUCUUUUAUCUAUCAUGAUAAUUUGUACCCACAUCGUAGAUGCCACUACACAAUUAAAGGGAAAACAUCAAGGUAGAUUGUCGAGAUUGAAUAGUUGAUCGACAUAUCAUGGUUCUUACCAAGAAAAACAGAUCAUGGUGGAAGCAGCAUGUUAUACCGUGCCACAUUCAAGAAUGAAUAAGAGCUCGUACUACAUCUUUACCAGACCCCAAUUCACAACGCUUCACGGCUAGUAGUACAUGUUCAACAACUAGAAACACAAAAACAGAACUUAUGAAACCUAAUUUCUGAGGUGAAACUCCCAACUUCAUGCUCAUGCAAACUCUCUUGCCAAACUGUUACACUCACAACUACAUCAUCAGAGCGCUAUCUAAUUUGUCCCAACAUUGAGGGAUGGUAACAUACAAGAUGGUAGAUAGAUUUGGUGGGGAAGACUGAUUUGAUGUACCUGCGCUUGAGUGUUGGGUGGUAGCAUCGAGCGGGCCAGCGGUAGGGAUCGAGAGGAGGACGGGUGUAGUUGAGGAUGGAUAGAGUGAGAACGAAAGGAUAAGGUUAUUUUUACCGCGUCGGGAGCUGUUAAAACCGACUAAUGCUGAUGUGGGCCUAAUGUGCCUGAAUAUGCAAUACCGAGCCUAAUAUGCAACGCCAACACUAAUCAAAUAGCUAUGGCCUAUGAAUUUAGGCAACGUCAGCACUAUUUGAAAAUAUUAGUGCUCGCGUUCGUGAGAAAUGGCAUGUCAGGAACAAGAGUUGUGGCUAGCUAUUUCUCCACUAGUGUCUAUUUCUAAUGAUAAAAAAUAUAGUUCUUCUGUGUAUUAUGAUUAACUUAUAAUCAACAUAUUUAGGUAUUUGAAAAACCAUCAAUGAUAUAUUCAUACAUAUUUCUUAAAAUGUCACAUCAUUUGUGUAAAUAAUAUGAUCUAUUAGAAUAUAGUGUCAAUGUCAAAAAUUAAAUUAAUAAGUACACAUGGUGCAUAUUGUGUUGUGACCAAACCAUUGGAAAGCAAAUAUAGCAUUAACUAAAUUUUAUAUAUUUCCUUAAUUGGCCUUCAUUUUUAGUGACACUAUAAAUUAUUUCCUUAUUUGUGGAUGUGCAAUGUCCAUCCCAAAUGAUAACACCCAUAUGACAUAUCUGUACUUCGUCCAUACGCAUUAGUCUCCAUCUGUUAUAUUUUGCACGAAUUUUGAAAGAAUAUGUUAGAAUUUCAAUGCCACGUAGGCACAUCGUGUUGUGUGAGCGUUAGAGCGCUCGCCUACACGACCCACAACGUGGUGUUGCCAGCUGCGCCAUGUGGGCGAAUCAGUUCCCGCCCAAACAGUCCUCACCCAGUCUGUGCGUAUGUGGGUGAAUUGUUCUUCACUCACACGACGCUCGUACGGUGCUAGAUGGCAACUACGGUUGUGCGCAUGUGACAACUAGGUAAUCACACAUUGCAACUAUGGUUAACCGUACAUGGCAAUUAUGAUUGGACCACACGUGACAACUAGUUAAUCGCACAUGACAACUAUUGUUUGACCACAUGUGACAAGUAAUUAACCACACAUGACAACUAUAGUUUGAUUACACACGACAACUACCUGUAAUUAGACAUGGAAACUAUAGUUAACCAAAAUAAAGAAGUUGUCAUGCUUUACAACUACAAUUGCCACCCCGAAUGACAAAGUUGGCAUCCUCCGAGUAUCUAAGGUUGCCAUCCUUCUGAUAAAUAAAGUUACUGCACCAGGACAUGUGGGCAUAUUUUGCUUCGUGCCAUAUGCGUGGGAUGGGUAUGAGUAGUAGUUGUUAGACGUGUGGCACGAAAUAACUGCGCCCAUACGUGUGAUGAAUAUCGGAACCCAUGUCCAUAAUAGCCCCAUAGUCAUUGACAAUAUCUUACUUUCAUUUGUGUAUACAAGGCCACUUCAAACUGUUACGUCUAACUUUGAUCAUUAAUUUUAUCAAUAAAAGUGGUUAGUGCCACAAAAAGGUACGUGAAUGGAUGCACAUUUUAAAAAAAACUUUUCGAUGAUAUAUUUUUUACGACAUAUAAUUCAUGUUUUGUUAACAAAAUUUGACACGAAAAAAAAAACCUUGUACACAGAAAUGAAAAGUGUACUUCACAAGAGGUAGCAGCAAUAUUAGCCGUCGGAUCCCAUGGAACUAAACAAGGUAAAGGACACGCGGGUGAAGAGCACAUUGAAAGAACACUAUGAACAAAACCCAGAACUUCUGAAAUUUCGCGACACCAAACACGAUCAAAUGUUGUAGGCGCUUGUAAGAUUUCAUGAACAAAUAACAUUCGAGGAGCUCUCGACAGUAUAAAAAUAAGAAAAACAGUUGCACGAAGAGAGGCAUGAACGUUGGACUGGCUGGAAUAUCAACUGCACACAGCGAUGGCUUCUGAGGAGGAGUGUCCACUUCCAGCCAGUGCACGCGCAUUGAAUCACCGGUCAAUGAUCAACCUUUCCCUUUCUCCUUGAAAGUUACCGGAAGAAUCCGCGGGUCGGUGAUCCAAUCCAACGCGGGCCUUUGCUGGCCGCUAGUGGCAUGCACCACCGUCCAAAGACGACGUAUGCCCGGCCCCGGCGUCGGCAUGGCCGGCGCAGAGAGGGGAGGGGAACAGGACACGAUCGGCCGGACAGAGACGAGAAAGGGUCCAAGGGAGGGCCGGGCUGUGCUGUCGAUGGGGCAAAUGCCGGCCGUGCUGUGGUGUGCCCCGGCCCCCUAUCCAGUGAAAGUGAUUACUACUACAUUCGUGGUGGGUCUGCGCGCAGGCAGGUUCAGCGGCAGCACGGCACAGCGGCAGGGUGGCUGGAGGAAGCAGCACUUGCGUAUGCAUGCAGCACCACCAGCGGCUGGCUCGUUGGUAGCUAGCUAUCGGCCACUACGAGCGUACGUACGUACUCCCACCGUGUCGUUAACCGGCAAAAUGGACACGAUUAACCUAUGGACGAAAGUAUUUUAUUAAUUGAACCGUGUUUAAUUUUUUUUUCACUAAGCUGAUCAUUUUAUGUGAUGUCUAAUAUAUAGACGCCAUACUAGCCUGCCACCGAGCAUCAGUGUGUCCGGGGAUGUGGCGUCUUUAUCUUAGAUGCCACAUAAUGUAGUGUGGCGUCUGGCCGUCGGAUGCCACACAAAUCGAUCAGUUAAGUAAUUUUUAUUUAAAAUAUGGUUUAAUUUAUGAAAUACUUUCUUUCACUGAUUCACAUAUCAAUUUUAUCAAAUUUGCCUCGUUAACCAGGCUACUAAUAACCUGCCGGAUGUACUGUGUCGACACAGUAGUCUCGUACGCCAAGUUAAAAUUUUCUGCCUGUUUCACGUGGAAAACUAUGCCGCAUUCACGUACGCGUAGCGUACGUGCACACUACUCUAGUUACAGCUCGCGGGCGCGCAUGCAGUGAGCGGUGAUGCAUGGGAUCGGUAGAGUGUAGACAAUACCGAUGCAUGCAUGCAUCCAUGAAGGCCAGUAUUGGAGCGUAUGGUGACCAGGUCGUCCAUGCAUGUAGGGAAGUCAUGCUUGAUAAUGUUGACCCAGUCGUCCAUGCCAAUUGAGAAGUCAUGCUUCAUUAGAUGAUGUGGAAAGAGUGGUGUUAUUGACAGUACUGCACCGUUAUAAUAAAUGCACUAACUUUUUCUGCGAGACAGUAUAAGUGAAUUGAAAUCAAUCUUUAUUGCGUAACAGCACACUCUCAGAUCGCCAAUCAUUUCAAGAUUUGACCCUGUCAAAUUUCAAACCUAAAGUUGCAUUUCUAAAAGAUAGGGAUCUACUUUUUAUCCAUAAAGUUUCCAUUUGUCACACUUCUUUUUUACCUUACUUACCGGAAAUUUAUGAAAAAUAGGACGUUUAAGCAAGUUUGUUGCAUUCUUUCACCCUUUAACGAGCUUUGCGUUCUUCUAUCGUAUGGGUCUCAUUGUCAUUCUGACAUGCCGUUGACUCGUGCCGAGAUCGAAAGCAGAUCUUGCGAGGAGCUUCUGUUGACGCAGUGUAGGGCGUAUGCGGUCGACGUGAUCACCGUAGGAAGAUUAGGGACACCAGUAAGAUGAUUUCUUCAUUUCAUUCUUCCUAGUUGUAUCUAGUCGCCCAAAUGAAGCAUCAAAGAAAUCCCGGGAUUGACCCAUGCAUGUUGACCCCUCCUACUCUAGGAUGUCACCACCACCGCCUCUUGCACUUCCACCAGGUCAGAAGAUCACACUCCGGGAGAGAAGGGACUUCCUUGUGUGUGGCUUGGCCCGACUAAUUGGGUUCAUAUCCUAUCCUGGCUGAAUUAGCUUGCUCGAUGCCGCAUCGACCACAUGAGAGCCCGCCCCACAUGAGUGUGCAACCGAAAACCAUAUGCUAGAGCAUCUACAACCGGAUCACUUAUAUCCGUCUCAUACGUCUCUACAGGCCGUCCGGUCACGAAAAAUUGAUCCAGGCAGACUUCCUAAACGGGCCUUAGACAUCCGGACUGACCGACACCCUCAUAUCCAUGCUAAAUAUAAGACGGAUAUGGGGGAGUCCGGACGCACCCAGCAUGCCCGCUUGAUUGGUCUGGCCCAUCAUCGACCCCAUCGCCAUGUCAGUCCGGCCCUCCACGGACCCACUAAAUACUCCCAAUGCGGAAACCCUAGACAUCUCGCAGGUCACUCUCCGUCCACUCCACUUCCAAUCUUCCACCCUCCGACCAGAUGGCCGGCGACGGAAGCAGCUCCGGCGGAUCGAAUGUCGAUGUGGAGGAGGUGGCCCUCUGCAUCACAUUGCACAUGUCGCUGCAGGACCAAGGAGGACCUAGCGGCAGUGGGUCUGCAUCCUUCGGACCCAUCGCACACCGACAGAGCGCCGACGGUGGUGGAUCUGCAUUCUCCGGGCCUGUCGCAUGCCGACGGAGCGUCGGUGAUGUUGCAGGCCCUUCCCAUGAGCCGCGCAUCUCCGGUCACUCAUGCUCCGGCCGGUCCGUUCCAGGUCAGGUACGUCGCCCACCUCCACCACCUUAUUCUUCAGAAGCGGUGCCAGGCCACCGCUGGGUCCUCGCACCCGCGUUGGGGACGGGGCGUACGAGGACGCCGUAGUCCGAGGCGUGUGCAACCCAUCGCAAGCGGCAACGAGCGAGGGAGAGGGGGGAGGAAGGGGCAGAGCUAGGCUAGCACCGGGCCCUGGGCCUCCUUCAUUGCGACAGUGAUUAACACUGACCAACAAUGUAAAAAACCCUACAGUUAGCAAAGGAAUUAAUCCUCACGCCCCGGGCCCUGGCCCCCCGCCACUGGGGGGAGGCGUUGGCCGCACAACGUUCAACCUUGAGCGGGCCGGUCGACCCCGAGGACGCGCUUCUCACGGGUGUCCUGCGUCGCUCGCUGACGACGACGGAGUCGGAUGCACGCCGCCUCCGUGGCAAGAAUAUUGAUGCGCUCCGACUGGCCAUCCACUUAUCGGAGCGCGAGGCAGCGAAAGAGGCGAAGGCGAAGGCGAAAGCGGCCCGCCACGCCAAGGAGCAUGCCCACCUAGUACGCAUGCUUUGCGGCAUAUGAUGUAACUCCGAGAACGAAGAUGACGACAACGACGUCUCGACCUCCGGUUCCGAUGACGACGACGCUCCACCGCACGCCGACGUCUACACGGAGGAUGGGCAUAGCUGCGUGGAUGACAGGAAUGGGAAGGGGGCGGCAAGGAAAUGGUGAUUUCCUCCGCCCUUCCCCGUGUUGUUCAUAUUUUAAUUAUGCUCAAGUAGUUUCUACUAUGAAUUUACCGAUAAACUUGAAUGAAGUAUGAUCUUUUUAUUCAGUGAAGCAAUCCGAUUCGAUGAAAGAUGUUGAUCUCUUGUUUACGUGACAUUACAUGGGUUUGUAUGAAUAUGAGGGAUGCGGAUGUGAAAGACAAAAAAUAAAACGCACUCGAUCAAUGCACUCGAUCAAUGUCCGUGGACGCAGCUGGCGUUUGAAGGGCCGUAUUUGCCAUACGUGGUUGUACAUGCUCUUAUACUACCAGUGGACCUAACCUAGCAUGAAGGGGCAAACCCGAGACGAUAUAAAAUAAAAGAGCAAACUUGCUUAAAUUAAUGGGCUAAUUUGGAGAAUCUUCUGCUAAAUGCGUAAGAAAUGUCACAAAUUGUAACUUGAAACUUAGUGAUGUAAAAAUUAGGACUCAUGGGUUGCUUCGAAAUUGAUAAAUUAGUAAAUCAACAGUACAUACCGUAAUGCUCAUGCCAAGGACUCUGAUUUAAGAUUGACCCAGUUUGUUCUCUCAAAACAGACUCCCGCUUAACUAUGGAGGGGAGACGGACCGGGGCGUCACCCCUGCCGAGUCCAAGACGAAGAAGAU